rnacentral:misc_RNA from 1 species
GGAUGAAGAACGCAGCGAAAUGCGAUACGUAAUGUGAAUUGCAGAAUUCAGUGAAUCAUCGAGUCUUUGAACGCACAUUGCGCCCCCUGGUAUUCCGGGGGGCAUGCCUGUCCGAGCGUCAUUGCUGCCCUCAAGCACGGCUUGUGUGUUGGGCCUCCGUCCUCCUCCCGGGGGACGGGCCCGAAAGGCAGCGGCGGCACCGCGUCCGGUCCUCGAGCGUAUGGGGCUUCGUCACCCGCUCUUGUAGGCCCGGCCGGCGCUUGCCGACACAUCAAUCUUUUUUCCAGGUUGACCUCGGAUCAGGUAGGGAUACCCGCUGAACUUAAGCAUAUCAAUAAGCGGAGGA